rnacentral:rRNA from 1 species
CGAGCACGCGCGUGUGGCAUAUCAAUAAGCGGAGGAAAAGAAACUAACAAGGAUUCCCCUAGUAACGGCGAGUGAAGCGGGAAGAGCUCAAAUUUGAAAUCUUCAAGGUUUUACCUUGACGAAUUGUAGUUUAAAGAAGUGUUUCGGUUAGAGGAGUGGUAAAAGUUCUUUGGAAUAGGACAUCAUAGAGGGUGAGAAUCCCGUAUUUGGUCAUUCUCCUAGCUUUGUGAUACACUUUCAACGAGUCGGAUUGUUUGGGAAUGCAGUCCAAAAUGGGUGGUAAAUUUCAUCUAAAGCUAAAUAUUGGCGAGAGACCGAUAGCGAACAAGUACCGUGAGGGAAAGAUGAAAAGAACUUUGAAAAGAGAGUUAAACAGUACGUGAAAUUGUUAAAAGGGAAGCGUUUGACACCAGUGUUGUUUUUCCGAAAAUCAAUUACGAAUGUUUUGUUUUUAAGGAGUUAUGACUUCAUCGGCUUGCUCCUUUCUUUACGAAACUUUCUUAAUGCACUUUUCGGUUAACAAGUCAACAUCAAUUUCUUUUGUUGUAAAAGGGUAUGAGGAAGGUGGCUUUCUUUUCGGAGAAAGUGUUUAUAGCCUUGUGCCUCUGCAAUCGGAGAGAUUGAGGUCUGCAGCGUAGAUCCUUCGGGGUUAGAUACGUUUGUGCUAAGUUAUAGCUUUUCAUAGACAACUUGUUGACUAUGUUAAGUCUUGUAGCUUACUCGCUUAUGCUAUUUUACCUACGCUUAGGAUGUUGAGUAGCGACAUACGAC